CAGUGGAGGAAACUGUUUAUUAAUCAGGAGCUACAAUGUGUGAUUCCACAGAUGCAGGUUGUUGAAUAAGACUUUGCAUUCAUACUUGUCGAUUCGUACGUCUUUCACAUUAUCGUUUAGUUUUUAGUUAUUGAUGAAAAAUGCAAUACAUUUAGUCAUAGUUCUUGUUUUUAAAGUUACUUUUUAUUUAGUUUUAGUCUGUUUUUGUCAUGAAAAAAAGGUGUCGGGGAAUUUUUUUUGUCAUAAUUUUCAUUAAAAAAUUAACAAAUGCCUCAAGGAAGCUCCAAAAGAUAUGCUCUCACCAGUGGGACCCUUGCCUGUGAACAAGCUAACCCAGCUAAUGCUAGCCCCAAUCCGCAGGACAGUGAACUUUCCAUGUAGCGAACAGCCUUAGCAGAUAAUGAUAUGAUGAUAGAGUCAGCCAAGAUGUCCAAACUAAUUAUAGACAUUGCUCUCAAAAUAGAAAACUGGAAAAAAUUCACCUAUGCAGUAGACACUAAGCUAAUGGAAAUUUCCAGCCACUUGUGUCAUGUCGAGAGCUGCUCUGCUUUCCUUCAGACUCUAAUCAGCAUUUACUAUAUGCCCCCACUGCAACCCACACAUAGCUUGAUAUGCUGAGACAGAAACUAGGUGAUAUUGAAAAUAGAGGAAGAUGGAGUAAUCUGGAAUUUUUUGGUUUUCCUGGGGAAAGUGUGAGGGGAAGUACUCCAGUUCAUUUGUAAGCAACACCAUUCCACAGGUGUACAACAUUAUCUUUCCAGAUAAACUGGAGAUCAAAGGGGUGAACAGAGUCAGAAUCAGACACCGACCAGUGCAAGGUCAGCCAGCAAGACAGAGAGCCCUCAUACCAAAAACCCUGAAAUCUGAGCACUGUGAACAUAUCAUUGGAGGUGCAUGGCGAACACGAAAAACCAUGACUGUAAAGUUCCUCAGUCAUUCAGGUCAUUUUUAUCCAAGAAGCAACCCACCAUGAUGUCACCCAAUGGUUUGUGAACUGCCGUUUUGAAGCCUCAAGUCGGACAUAUUGGCCGUCGCCAUCUCGUUUUUUUGGACUCAGAAGUAACCAUAUUUGGAUGAGAUGGUGGAGCUGGCGUGGAUUGAGGGUUGAAUCUGACUGAGAACCCAAGGACACUAUGCGAGCCCACCUAUACCAGCAACCUGACUGCACCAGGCUCUCGACUGAGGCGUCCUAAGUCGCUAACAAAGCCAAAGAUCAUUCUGGAUCCUGGGGACAGCUAUGUCCAGCAUGGGGUCCAGGUAGCCACAGACACCAUGGGGAGCAACCUUGUUGUUGAUGGUAUCUCCAUCCAUUGGUUCGACUGGGGAUGGCCUGAGAUGGAAGAGCCUUUCCCUUCUCCAAUCUGUCCCUGUUAGGAAUGGCAGUAUAUACUUCUCAUCUACUGCGGUGGGAAUGACCGAGGGGAUGUCUCAAGCGUCAACCUUGUUAUAUUCAUAUCGGAUAUGAAAAUCAUCUACUCUGGCAUCAUCCAGAGAUGCAGAUGGAAGGCUGGUGCCAAUCUGGUACCUCUGCUCCAGGGGCUGCAGAGUCUGGAUCUAUCACUGCAAACCACCUACUGCCCCCAUGAUCCUGCUUGACACCCACUGCUUCAUUAUUAUUAUAUAUCUUUAUGUGGUACCUGUACUUUGCAUCAUUUAUUUAGAGAGAGGUUGAUACUUGGGCAAAUUUACAUUCAAAUACUCUAUCAGGUUGCUUUUUUGUCCCUUUUAUUGUUACCUAAGUAAACCAAGAAACUGUUAACAUGAAUAGACUUCAGAAAGGGCUUCUUCCCCCAAGCUGUGAGCCUCACACACAAGCACCCGUGAUGAAUAAUGGCUCCGGAACUUUUUGCACAUUACCUCCAUUACUUAUGGACUGCUGCAAUAGCUUUUCAACUACGCAUUAGCAUAGCCCACCUACAGAUUGUUGCACUAUGCUCACUUUAAUUGUAAAGGCAGCUUUUAAUCCUUUACCCAGGCUUUGGACUACUCAGAGAGUGUACGGACUGCUGCACCAAACGCUGUAAGCAUAUCUAGCAUUUUUCUAUUGUAUUUAUACUUGUUACUAAAAAAUUAUGUUGUACUGAAGAUUCAACUACCUCUUUCUAUUAUGCAAACUUAUCUUGUGACAGUUCAGUUCACCUUUACCUUGAUCCUAAGCUGUAUUUUUUUUUUUUUAAGUAGUUAAGUAGUUAUUUAAUUCAUCCAUUUAUUUACAAGAGUCAGUAUUUGCUCCCGGGUAUGCUUCUGGUUGGUCAGUUCCAGCUUUUACCUUUUGAAGACCCUUUUGAUGUCAAAUUGGGAAAUACUUUCACAACUGAAGGUGGUGACUGGUUGAGCCAUCACUUAAUUCCAGUUUAAUAUUUCUAAAGUUCUGUUUUUAAAAGUAUUACUACCAUUAUCUAUCUAACAACAGCAGAAAUAAAGUCAAAGAUAAGAAACUGAAUCUGGCUAUACUAGAGACAGAGAAUAAGAAACGUCUAAAACGUUGGUUUGUCCUUUCAUCAGAGGAAGCUGAACUGGAUGUGGUUUUCUUGAAUCAUCAUCCCAAGCCAUUUGAAAACUAAGGAUGUUCUCUAUGCAGUCUCCCUUCUGCAUAACCAGAUGAAUGGUACCAAAUACACCUUCUGUUGGUACAAGUCGUUCAGUGUUCUCAGUGUGAAUAUCUUUUGAAUUACAGUAAAAGAGAAAGAUGCUAGAUAAGACAUGGUGGAUCACAAUGAAUCGAAUACAUAUACUAGCUUAUCAGGAUAGGUGCAUGAAUGUCUGCUUCAGUUGAGGACUAUGAUGUAUGAACUGUAUGAACAAAAUCCUACAUGACAAAUGUUCUCCUAUACUUGUGUAUUGAACAUAAGAACACACUUUUAACUUUUUUGUGAUAUUAACGAUGUGUGACUGAACAGCAUUUCUAAAUAGAGAUUCUAACGUGUGUAUGACUCAUCUUAAAACAGUGUCAUAUGCUAAAAGAAGGUCCUGACACACCAAAGUGGAAAUAAGACAACAGAGUAACACAGGGCCCAGUGUAAUACAUUAACAACAAAAGUGGUUCAUUUCAAAGUAAAAUAUCGGAAAGAUUUCCAUGUGCUUUAAGAAAGGGCUUUAGUCACAUCACAUUUAGGUGAGGGAUUUUAUUUCUCCAGGCUAUCUGUGCUGCAAUUUAUUAUAUAUUACAUUCAACUGUAGUGUCAGUCACUACUUUGAUCAUAUCCUUGGUGUUUAAUCUUCAAGUCUACAUUUUAGUAAAUACAUCUUUGGAUUUUUUUUUAGCACUACAUCAAACUUAAGAACCAAUGUCUAUGAUUUGUGUAUAUAAUGGAUCCAUUUUGCUUAUUUCGAAUCCUAAUUUCCUCUUGUCUCCAACCUCAGCUUCCAUCAUCAGCUAAAGCUAACACUAGCUAGCUAGUGUUGAGUGGUAACUAUUUCCACUCCCCGAGAAAGUUGAUGCAGCAAGGAACACACAGAGAGAGACGACUGUAGACAGUGCACUCAGUUUUAUUACGCAGUUUGCAAAGUGCGGAGAUCACUCCGUUACAGCAUAGAGCAUAUGCAUUCAAAGUGGUAACAAGAGAGAUCUGACUCGUUAUCUUUUAGCGAUGUCUUAAGUACUGUCUUCGCUGGAUCCUCCCCCUGCCCACUUCCUGCUUCCCGGAUCUCAUCACAGUCUGUUGUCUACCAUACUUGAGCUACCUUCUACUUUUCACCUGUUUUCAUCGUCUCUGAGACGAGUUCCCGUAAACCUCUCAUGCCCGAUGUAUAUAUGUAUUGCGUUGGGGAUACAUAGGAUGAUUAAUAUCGCAUGUCCUACAAUCCACUAUAAGCUUUUGGCGCUUUACAUCGGGUAUCCCCACACUAGCUUGGUUAGCAAGGUGUAUCUGUAAUUCAU